GACGAACGCUGGCGGCGUGCUUAGCACAUGCAAGUCGAACGGAAAGGCCCUGCUUUUGUGGGGUGCACGAGUGGCGAACGGGUGAGUAACACGUGAGUAACCUGCCCUUGACUUUGGGAUAACUUCAGGAAACUGGGGCUAAUACCGGAUAGGAGCUCCUGCUGCAUGGUGGGGGUUGGAAAGUUUCGGCGGUUGGGGAUGGACUCGCGGCUUAUCAGCUUGUUGGUGGGGUAGUGGCUUACCAAGGCUUUGACGGGUAGCCGGCCUGAGAGGGUGACCGGCCACAUUGGGACUGAGAUACGGCCCAGACUCCUACGGGAGGCAGCAGUGGGGAAUAUUGCACAAUGGGCGGAAGCCUGAUGCAGCAACGCCGCGUGCGGGAUGACGGCCUUCGGGUUGUAAACCGCUUUCGCCUGUGACGAAGCGUGAGUGACGGUAAUGGGUAAAGAAGCACCGGCUAACUACGUG
rnacentral:rRNA from 1 species